CCGACUUCUCGCGAGAGUGGCGAAGCUCCGCGGACCCGAGAACUGCGGGCGGACUCGACGUACCCCACCGCGGGGUGGUGCUCUGACUGCGGCAACCGUUGAAGGGCUGCCCCUGGGGAGUCAGCGAGGCGCCAUCGGUCCCUUAAACAUCUCAAGUACAUUCUACGUUAAGAGGAAUGACCGCACCAUUUUCCUGAGCUAUGGCAGUCAGACCUGGUAAAGGUGUCUUCUCUACAGAACCCCCAAACCUGGCAAGGAUGAUUCAGAUUUUGGCAGAUUAUCACUUCAUCCCCAACCAACACUUAUAAAAUAUCAACAGAGACCUGUACUACAUGAAAUUGUAAUGGAAGUUCUCCAAAGGGAAAAAGAAUAUUAACAGAAAAAUUGGAUCUUCAGGAGCAAAUGAAGAACAUCAGAAAUGCAACUUUCAUUGUUAGAGAGAGGAGAGAGAGAGAAGCCUUGUUGGUUGACGUCACUUGGUUCAUGAAGCCUUCGCCUAGAAGUGAAGCUGCUGAACAAACCUUGAGAAGAAUCAUCUCCUGCUUCAAUCUGCUGCUGGAUAGGAACUAAUCAGAAGAGAGAGGCGGAAGACGGAGAAGGAGGGAGUCCAGGGCUUUCCCGAUCACAAAUCUCACCUCCACUCCAACUCUCUUUAUACUUUUCUUGCAAAAAUAGUAAUAGAAAUAAGGAGGUGGUAGGGUUUCCAAAAACAAAAAUCGUAACCUUCAACCAUCUGGAGAAGGCAAAAAUCCCAUCCACCGCAACUCUCAGUUCGAAAGUAAAGGUGAGUUUAAAAUCCUUGGGUGUGAGGGGUGCGGGAGAAGAUGAAGAUUCCAAAUGUAAAGCCGGUUGAAACAGAAAAGGAGAAACUACGUUCCGGCGAGCGGGGAAGACUCGGGAGUUGCUUAUCUCGAGGCGCUCGCUCUGCCCGCCCUGCUCGCCCUGCCGCGGCUGUUUACCCUCGCCGGUCGGUGUGUCUCUUUGUUGUGCUGGCUGGAAGGCUGGGAUGGUGCUCGGGGUCCCGAGUGCAGUUUGGGGGAGGAGGACGCGGAGAAGCGCGGUCCUGGGUGGGAGGUGGGGGGUGCGGUCUCAGGAGAAUGUAAACUUUAUUCGUAGCUGCCAGUGCGGGACUUCGGUCUAGCAGGGCCGCGGGCCGUGCAUCCCCCGGCGCGGGCAUACGCUGCCGCCGCGAGUCCGCCUCCUUUGUGCCGGCCGCCCUGCUCCGCCGCCCCGGCUUCGCGUCUCCUUCUUCCUCCCUUCGGCUUCCAGCGCUCAGGUUGCCACCAACAGUUUUGCUUCUUAAACAACCUCUGGCACUCUUGCGAUCGUAGUUCCUAUCCAGGAAUAUCCGCUGCUCCCCCCAUCCCCGCCGGGGUAGUUUCAAGAUACCCCCCCACUCCAGUCCGCCUACUGCUGCCCUUUUUUGCCUCCGCCCCCUCUUCCUUCUAGGACUGAUUAGCUGCGCCUGCCACCCCCACCCCCCAAUUCGGGCCUCUUGCUCGCUCUCCCUGAGUAGCUGGGAGCUCCAGAGUUACUGAAAACUGCAGUGUAAAGGAGCAGAUGUUUUGCCAAACAUCCUGAUGUGUUGCUUUUUCUUAUGGGAGUGCAUAACUGUUCCUUCUGAUGCAUCAACUUGACAGCUGGUUGAUUUCAUGGAGCUGCUAAGAAGCCAUUAGUGGUGUCAUUGAAUUGAAACAGAACAGUCACUCCCAGCUUGAACUGCAAUUGUUAAUGUCUUUGUUGCUACUUUUGUGUUACUAUACAAGAUGUAGGAUAUCACAGUUACAUGAAAGUUUAGUUUUCUGUCUUAUCUUCUUGAAUCAGUGAAAGGAAGCAUUAGAACUUGAUUACUUUUAGAUUUAAAGAUUUCUCAUAGGAUUUUUAAGUUGUAGUUUCUGAGUUUUUGACCUAGUCCUAGGUGGAACUGCCAAAAGAAGGUGUUCUUUAGCACAAAGUAAUGUGGGGAUUUUGACCCCUAGAUGAAAUUCUAUCAUUGAGAUUUAAUGAUUUUUUAAAAAAUAAAUUUGAUAUCCUGAGGGAGUAAUUAAAUACCUAGUUAGGUAUUUUAAGAAGUUUUUGGUUAUAUAAAAUUAAAUCUUAUCAUAAGGUUUCAAAAAUAUGCCUUAUUUAGUAAACGUUGACUUGUUUGACUAAACAUUUCUUUAAACUUUUGCUGCAGAAGAUAUUUAGAAGAGAAAAGAAUUAUUUAGGAAAAGGGCAAUUUGGGGUUUAAUUUUCUCUAUAAGAAGGUAAAAAUAUUAUAUAAUUGACUAGUAGUCAUUUAAUUAUUUUAAAAUUUGAAAUUAUGUUUUUAUUGUACUAAUAACCAUUAUUAAUAGUUUCAGCUAUUAAACUGUUAUACUAUAGUGGUGUCAGAUCAUCCCAUUGGCCUCUGUUUUAUACUUUUUCUAAUUACUUGCUCUUUGUUUUGUUUGUUUUGGUGGAAGAGGAGACAGGAAAGAUGGAGAAUAGGGAGUGAUCAUCUCAACAGAAAAAAACAUAUUUAAAAAAAAUUUAUGUAACAAAUUUAGGAUGAUGAGUUGAAGGAUAAAAUGUAACUUAUGACUGUGUUGAGAUAUUUUCUAGUUCUAAUAUUUAUCAAUUUUUAAUUUUUAAAUCUAAGUACACCAACAAUUUUUCAAAGAGCAUAACAUAACAUAUUCAAAAUAUUGAAUAUUGCCUUUAAAAGGAAUUCUUAAAAAGUGAAAUUGAUGAUUAGAAUAAUUUGCUGAGUUAAACCCAAUGAAAAGGACUUCUUAUACAAUAUAAACAAAUUUAAACAUUUAUAAUGCAUCACUGAGUGAUUCCAGAAUUAUAAUAUCCUGAAAUCAUAAGUUUAUAAAGAUGCUUUUCUUUUAAAUAAAUGUAAAUUACUGAGACUAAAGCUAAAAUUUAUAUUCAGGUAAUAAUGCUUUUAUAUUUUAAUGUAUUCACCAUACAGUUUCUUAAAAUUAUUUUAUUAUCUUAGCCUGUGUUUCAAUUUUUGAGAAAUAUAUUUAUUCAGAAAAUAUUUAUGUCAUGGCAGAUAUAAAUUAAGUGGCAAAUUGAGUUGUAUAUUAAAUGUAAACUUUUUUUAAAUGAAUCUCAAUGCUUAGCUCAUUUUUAGAAAUGACAUACUCCUAAUUGUAGUGCAAAUAGGCAUCCCUUAAUUUAAGUAGGAUUUUUCCCCCACUGGGUUUCUUAAAGGAAAGCAGUUCUAAACAGAACAAUCAUAAAAAGUUUAAAUUUUCAUUCAUAAAUUUUUCUGUUGACCCUAUUAACUUUGAAAUCAUGGGCAAUAAAUAUAUUUAAUUUACAGUUACGUAUGGUACUUAGACUAAAAUGAAUUUAUAUGACUUAAAUCUGUUUUGAAUGCUAUGUGAUUUGUGGCAAGUCAUAAUACAGUUUGAGAUGUAAAAUAUUUAAGAGAACUGAUAUUUGUAAAUAGAAUAUUGAGCUUUUUUAAUGCAUAACUUUUUUAAGAAUAUGAGGUAAAAAUAUACUUUUUAUGCCACAUAUUUAAAAAUUUGCUGUGUAAGAUAGGAUGUUUUUAGUUUGUUUUUAAAAAUAAAAUUACUGCUUUAAAAUAGUUGUUUUUAUGAUUUAUGAAAUUUGGCUUGCACCUUGGUUUUUAAAUGUCUUUCAAAUAAGAAUUAAGUGUUAGAGAUAAUAAUGAUGGUAAUAUGUAGAUCAGAACCUUUACUAACUUUGUGUGCACAUGUGUACAUAGGCAAAAGGAGCAUUUUGUUUGCAGAUAAUGAUUGCAUUGGUACUUCAGCUAUGUGUAGAAAUAAUUGUGUGUUUUUCCUGUUUUCUGCUCUUAAUACUUUUCUACAAGCAUGCACUCAUUAAUCAAAGACGGUGCACUCCUGCUGAGGGCAGAGAGGUUCAUCAAAUUGGCAGUCAGUUUGGUGUAAAGAACGGUGUACUGAAGCUCUUAACUCGCUGGGACAUAAAUAAAUCUAAGGUCUUUGUAUGCAAACCCUAGAGGUUAAUACUGUAUAAUUCAAUGUCCUGUCUUUGUUUUUAUGAUUGAUGUUUUAAAAUGUUUCAAGCUUGAUGCAAGUCUUCUAGUAGGUCAGGUCUGACAAUCUGAUUGGCUGAAGUAAGAAAGCAUUAGGCUGUCAGAAGGACUUUGACUAUGCUGCAGAGAUUUUGGUUUUUUUUCCUUCAAGAUCAUUGUCAUAUUGCCUGAGCUGUUAUAGGAAUGUACCAGUGAUUGACAUCGCCCGCUGUGAUAAUGGACCCAGUGCAUAAAAUGCCAAUAGUUUGGUCCUAUUUGUUCGGAAGCUUACUGCUAUUUGUAUCCUUAACAGUGCUAACAUGUAGAACAAGCAAAACUACUGGGAUUUCUCUGUAGAAAGAGUGCUGGGAUUUGGCUUUAACAUGAAUUGGUUGCAUAUUCAUAAUUUAAGAACAGCUGGUUACAGCAAGCACAUAGUCAUUUGCAAGCUAUUAUAAACCAUUCCACUCACACAUGGAGCCUUUGGUUGUUUUUUUUUUUUUUUUUUUUUUUAUUGAUCUACCUGCAUUUAAAAUCUGGUCACUGCUGCUACUGAAGCUCUUCAUUUUAGCUGUGUUUGCAACAUAGAACAGCUUCAAUUUUAAAUAUUUAAUUUAAACUAAAUGCUGAAUAAAAUGAAGAAGCUUUGAAGGAAGCAAGUGUAAAAGGUGAAUAUGUAUUACUGAUUGUAUGUCUCAUCUUGGCCAAAAACAAAUAUAGAUUAUACAACCAUUGUAAUUUUUGGAAAAUGUUUUAUGAUUUUGUCCAUAGGUAAAUAACUGAAUUAUCUUUGAUUUGAAAAUAUUGUUAAUUAUAUUUUACUAGUUAGAUGUAGUUUUAAGAAGCACAAACCGUAGCCUAUAAAACAAUUUCAUCUAAUAUGUAGAAGACUGACAGAACUUUUAGUUUGGAGUGGUGUAAGGCAAGAGAGAAAGGAAGGAAAAUCAAGACAUUAAAUGGGGUUAGGAUAAUGCUGAUCCUAAACUAUCAGUUUUUUAGAAGGAAUCAAAGAUGGAGUCUCUUCUGCUUUUUGGGUCACUUCUGGAAUAUUAAGUAUAGCUGUGUAUUGAAGUAACAUGUGAAAGCUGGUCCAGCUAUAAUAGUUUCUGUGUGUUGUGCUGCUUAGUAGUGAAUGAAAAGAGAGGAGAAAGCCACUGUAUGCCAAACUUUCAAUUGAGAGUAGGGGGAGAAAAUGUUGAAUGUGAUUUUGCAUAUCCUGGUAGGAAUCAGAGAGAACUCUGCCUUGAUUUGUGUAUGUUAAAAUAAUUUCUCUGAGUGAUUUACAGUGACGGUGAUUCUGUUGAGCUUUCACACAACAAAGUGUUAGAUUCGCAUGUGCUGCAUGCAUGUGUUUGUCCCCACACUAGAUGAUGAAGUGGCUUUCAGCACUUCAAGGUUGAGUACCAAUCCUAAGAGUGCAUUUUACUCUUUCUUGGCUUCACAAAUGGCUGGAUAUGUUGGUAAUAUAACAGAAUAUAUGGCCAAAUUUAAUCUAGCUGAUAGUAGGCUGUACUUUUUUCUAAAUAAUAAAUUCAAAGGUUAUUAAAGGACGAUGUGUUGUAUUUUAGUUUUGAGUCCCAUAGGAUAAUAACUUUAUAUAUACCAUUAAUUUGCCAUUAUUUCAGGUUACAUUAGUCAUUUUGUAAAUUGUUCUAUGCCCUUUUGCUCUCUCUUUUUUUGGACUGUUGUCCUUUCAGUUAUCUCCCUGAUCGUCAGCAUCUUAGCCCAGAAUAAGCUGAGGAAAUAAAAGCAGGUAAAUUUAAAAUAAGCCCUGUUUUCCUUUCUCCCUGACUUCUUGGUAGAUCAGAUGGAGAGAAGUCCUUAGAUUUUUCACCAAAAUAAAGGUUUGGAAUUUUAUUUGUCUACCUUUCCUGGUUCUCGUUGUAACAGAUAAUUAUACUUAGAUAAAAAGAGAGGUGAAGUAAUGGGUUCAAUUUUUAAAAUAUUAGCAAAAAAAUCCAGAAAAUUUAGCUAUUACUCGAAAAAUGAAUUGACUCAAAAACAACCGCCACAGGAGAAUCACAGGCAUUUGAUAUAUUUUUAUUGGUCCCCUAAUAAUAGGGGAAAAGGAGGGCAGCUACCUUCAUUCAUCAGGUUUGUAUUGAAUGCUGUCUUCAAGCAUACUCAUGGAGAGCUAUGGAGUAAAGUUUGUGAAAGCUCAGGAGAGAGAUGACUUUUGCUUAGAAUCACAGAAACGGCUCUUUGGUUUGGGUAGCUUUGAAUUAGACCAAGAAUGAAUAAACUGAAUGUUCAGAGAUCAGAAGAAAUAAUCUGACUAUUAUUACUAGGACAGCAUGAGCCUCCUCUAGAACAAAUUAAUUCAAACUAGGGCUUGUUGUAUCUGGAGUUGAGCAGUCUUUUGGGGGUUAUGCCAGAUGGAAAAGAAAUCAUUAUGGGGUGCUGCUUUUCCUCCAUUGCUUUCAGAAUUGGCUGCUUGGCUUUCUCUGGAGAAGGUAGGUUAAUCAGUUUCAAAUCAUCCAUUUCAGUGAUAGGAUUGCAGUUUGUGGAAGCCAGGUUAAAACUGACAGAACUGCCCUUUCUGGUCAGAGUUAUUCAAAUAUUGUUUAAUGUGAGAUCAACCAGAAAAACUCUCUUCUGCCUCAUUCUUUUCCAGUGCUUUUAUAAAUGUUGUUUCUUGAAACCUAAUGUAUCAUCAUACCUACCAAGAACAUCAAGCAAAGAGGAUGUGACCUCUUUUUUCCUUUUCUAGAUGUGGUGGUGAGGAACUAGCUUUCCAAGGAGGUUUGAUGCCUCUGGCUCAAAAAACACUUUUACUUGUUUUAGUUCCUUUGGAUGAAUGAAGAAGACAGACUGGCUGGACUAUCAAUAAUAGGAAUAUCCAUAAGGACAAAAAGCCAACAAAAUGUUUAACCUCUUCCUUUAAAUUACAUCAGUACUGAAUUUCCCUUAUAAUAGAAAUCCUACAAAGAAUAAAGAGUUUGAAAAGGAAAGAUUAAAACAAAGACAGAUGUACAAGAAAGUAUGUUUUCAGUGGCUAGACUUUUCCUAACUUCAUUGUUACUGCAGUAAGAUAAAUUUAAAUUUAUUUCGUUUUCCUUUUUGCAUUAUUGUGAUAAACAUUUACUUGAAGGGACCUUUUAGAAGAAAACGUUAAAACAUAUGUAAUCAUUUCUUAUUUUGAUGAUGAUGAGUUUUGAGGUAAAUGAAAUGUGGAAAUGAGUAGACAUAGAAGGCUAUCUAGUAUCUGAGUUUAGAAAGAAACCAUACUUAUUAUUUUCUGGUUUCCAUCAUGACAUGGUUGUUGAAACAUUACUUUUGGACUUCCUGGGAGGAGGGUUAUUGUUAACAUAAACCAUUAUGGUGGUGUAAGAAGCGGCUAAGCUGAUCUUGAGCACCUGAAAAAAAUCAGGGAGCAGCCCAUAAGUCACAUAAUGUAUUUCUACUUUUAUGGGUUGUUAGUGUAGUGUACUGAAAGAAAUAGGGUCUACAAAGAAACAGUAACAGAGAUUGUGGGUCAAAUCUAUUUUAAAAGAAGGGUACUUCAAAGCCAAAGGAAUUGGGGGUAGACAGUAACAACAACAAAAAGAGGAGACAGUUUUAAAGAAGGCUUUUAUUUUUUUUUUAGGGCUGUACUCAGCAUAUGGAGGUUCCCAGGCUAGGGGUCUAGUCAGAGCUACAGCUGCGGGUCUACACCACAGCCACAGCAACGCUGGAUAUGAGUGAGGCCAGGGAUAGAACCUGCAACCUCAUGGUUCCUAGUCGGAUUCGUUCAGCUGCUGCACCACAACAGGAACUCCAAGAAGUCUUUUAAAUGGGGUUAAGAGGAGUGGAGAAUUGUUAUGUAAUGGAGUCCUCUUCACUGUGGUCAAAGUGUCUUGGCAUUGAAUUCCUGCCUUGUUAUUAAUAAUUUCAGCAGUUUGUUGAGAAAAUAACUCUUAUCUAGAAUCAUACCUUGGGCAUUUGAAGUAGGAAGUUGAAGGGUUAGGGAAGGGCUUUGUAAACAGUCAGGUGGUUGGUUCAGGAAGAGAACAUGUAAUAACUUUGGCCAGUUAGGUAAAAACUCUUUCCUUUUCCCUCUCCAGAAUGAGAUGUACUUGCCAGAACUCAUAAACGAGAAGAAUUGGUAAAUUCUUUUGUGCUAAGUGUGAAAUGGAAAGGUAGGAGCAGGCUGAGCUGGGGGAGGAGAGUAGGCGCCGAAUAGAAUGUGACCAGAAUUUCCCUGGUUUUGUUUUUUUGUUCUUUUAAUGAAGUGCUCUAUAACAUAGUCCCUUGGUUUUGACUUUUUUCUUUGUAAUGUGAAACACCUUUUGUGAAACAGGUCAUUUCUUGCAAUUUAUCGCAAAUAUUUCAUUCUUGGUAGGUAGCAUUUGAUAUGUUUCAGCUGAAGUCCAGAGGCAUAACUAAAUUAACUACAUGUGCCGGGGUAAAAAUUAAUGUCUAUUUCUGUAUUUGUAAUCUCAGCACUUCAUGAGUGAGUGAAAAAUAAUCCUGUACCCACCCAUGGAAACAAUCACUUAUUAGUUUCUCAUGUUUAGUACUAUUGCGAUGUGCUAAUAGUUAUGUAUUAGGCAGCAGUGAUUAGUUAAAUAUAUUGGUCGUUAAAUUGAGAAUAAGUAUCAGGUCAGCAUCUAUUUUUAAAUAACUAGAAACAAUUCAAGGUGCCUAGGAAUAAAAUGUAUGGCCCAUAAUGUGCUUAAGGAGUUCAUAAUUUACUUAGAGAGAAAGGGUGUACAUGAAAUCUUUUCUUUUGUGAUUUUUAUGUUAUAAAUUUAAUUUUUUAUGUCAGGAAAAAAAUUAAGGGUAGGAAAGGAAAAAUUAUUUUAAUAGCCAUCAUUUACUCAGUGACCUUAUGCUCCAACUGGGAUACAUGUGUCAGAUGCCCUCUGUUCCUGAGUAGCUCUCACAGUGUGGCAUCUUACACUAAAUGUGGCUCUUAUGUCUUAAUAUAGAUGUUUUUUGUAUAUCAUAGCUUUUUUUUGCUUUUUUUAGGGCCACAUCUGCAGCAUAUGGAAGUUCACAGGCUAGGGGUCAGUUGGAACUGCAGCUGCCCACCUAUACCACAGCCACAGCCAAGCCUCAUCCUUAACCCACUGAGUGGGGCCAGAGAUUGAACCAUGUCCUCUUGGAUGCUAGUUGGGGUCAUUACCACUGAGCCACAACAGGAGCUCCUAUCAUAGCUUCUAAAUACAGGCCAGCUGUGAGUAUUUGGAGCUCAGCUACAUAAAUGACAUCUGCUUUAAUGUUGGUGGUGAAAUUGGCUGUGUUGCACUUAUGAGUGGCAAAUAUAAUCCAUCCCCAGUGUGGUCGAUGUCGAUGAUAUUUUUAAAUUAUAUUUUAAUACAACCUGUUGACUAGACCCUACCACACUCUCCCAUUCUCCAGUAAGAUGAGUUUAUACUGUAAGGUCGCAUGGUUUAGGAUACUUCAUAUGCUUAAGUAUUGGUAUCUCCAAAAUGCUUUUUAAAAUUGCUUUAGAAUUAAAAGGAUUCAAGGAGAUAAUGAAACUUCAAUUGGGCUUUGAAGAAAGUAGUAGAUAUUUUAGCUUAGAAGAGCAACCUGAGCAAAGGCGAGGAUGGAGGGGAACGUAACUAACUAAAAUUUGUUUGAAAAUAAUGACAGAUAAGUUAGAGGAAUUUGGGCUAGUUAAUAGAUUUUCAAGCAGAGGUGUGACAUGAUUAAAAAGUUGUUUUAGGAAAAUAAAUGUGAAGGAAAUCUGUUAAAUGUUUAGAAAGAAGAGGUUAUUAAAAGACCAGUAAUUUAUUGCAGAAAUUCAAGUGUCAGACGGUAAUGACUAGACUAAUAGUAAUGUGAAUGGGCAGAAGGAUUAAUAUGAACUACAUAAUUUAAAGGAAUGGGGUUGAGCUAGUUGGGGGAGGUAGGAGAUUAUGUUACCUUACAUUCACAUUUAUUUCAUAUGACCAUAACAAUAAUUUGAUGCAAUUGAACACUCAUUUCCUUCUUUUCAGAUGAUGAAAGUGAAAGCUAUAGAGACUGUCUGUGGCUUACCACUGUCAGUUGUUACAUAUUCUUUCUAAUAUAUCAUAAGGUCUCAAGAUGAGUUUAGCUUAACAAACUCUCAUCCUUUUUUUAAAAACCCUUCUACUCUCCUGGUAUAUCACAUAUGUAUAAAUGAAUAAUCACAGCUAGUUUGCCUAAUAUUUUUCAUUUGUAUUUAUGUUUAUAGCUCUGUAAUGUAUUUAUACCACUGCCAGACAUUGCUUUCUGAAAACCACUGGGAGAUGGGAGGCAGCAUGUUCUAAACAUAUUAGAGACAUGCCAUAUGUUAUGGAUCCCUAAGUGUAGACUUUGAUGACUGUGAUUUUUGCAUAUGAUGUUCUCAAUUAUUAUUUUCUCUCUUUUUACUUGGUAGAAUCUGCUUAUUUUCUAAUAUCCUCUGAAGAGUUACUUUUGUGAAAAUCUUUCUAACCCUCUACCUCCCCACAAGAUUAUCUGAUUCUUUCUUUGUUCCCCAAUUGAGUGCUAAAUGGUGGAGUGCAUGGUUGUGUAAAUAGGCACACUGAUUCUUUUUUAACCUUUAUAAAUAAUGCUUCAGUGAACGUUUUUAUUCAUACCACUUUUAUUUAUUGUUGUUUGACAUCAUUUCUUAUUUUUUUUUUUUGUCUUUUUUUUUUGUUGUUGUUGUUGUU